rnacentral:rRNA from 1 species
UACGGAGGGGGCUAGCGUUGUUCGGAAUUACUGGGCGUAAAGCGCGCGUAGGCGGACCUGCAAGUCGGGGAUGAAAGCCCGAGGCUCAACCUCGGAACUGCCUUCGAUACUGCGGGUCUCGAGUCCGGGAGAGGUGAGUGGAAUUCCUAGUGUAGAGGUGAAAUUCGUAGAUAUCAGGAGGAACACCUGUGGUGUAGACAGCUUACUGGACCACUUCUGACGCUGAGACACGAAAGCGUGGGUAGCAAACAGG